CUCUCUGAUUCAGCGGCGGACGGGUGAGUAAUGCCUAGGAAUCUGCCUGAUAGUGGGGGACAACGUUUCGAAAGGAACGCUGAUACCGCAUACGUCCUACGGGAGAAAGCAGGGGACCUUCGGGCCUUGCGCUAUCAGAUGAGCCUAGGUCGGGUUAGCUAGUUGGUGAGGUAACGGCUCACCAAGGCGACGAUCCGUAACUGGUCUGAGAGGAUGAUCAGUCACACUGGAACUGAGACACGGUCCAGACUCCUACGGGAGGCAGCAGUGGGGAAUAUUGGACAAUGGGCGAAAGCCUGAUCCAGCCAUGCCGCGUGUGUGAAGAAGGUCUUCGGAUUGUAAAGCACUUUAAGUUGGGAGGAAGGGCAUUAACCUAAUACGUUAGUGUUUUGACGUUACCGACAGAAUAAGCACCGGCUAACUUCGUGCCAGCAGCCGCGGUAAUACGAAGGGUGCAAGCGUUAAUCGGAAUUACUGGGCGUAAAGCGCGCGUAGGUGGUUUGUUAAGUUGAAUGUGAAAGCCCCGGGCUCAACCUGGGAACUGCAUCCAAAACUGGCAAGCUAGAGUAUGGCAGAGGGUGGUGGAAUUUCCUGUGUAGC
rnacentral:rRNA from 1 species